GCCGGGUGUGGUGACUCACACCUGUAAUCCCAGCACUUUGGGAGGCAGAGGUGGGCGGAUCACCUGAGGUCAGGAGUUCAAGACCAGCCUGGCCAACAUGGUGAAACCCUGUCUCUA
ensembl:misc_RNA Metazoa_SRP Metazoan signal recognition particle RNA